rnacentral:rRNA from 1 species
UCGGGUUGUAAAGCACUUUUGUCCGGAAAGAAAUCCUGGUGGCUAAUAUCCGCCGGGGAUGACGGUACCGGAAGAAUAAGCACCGGCUAACUACGUGCCAGCAGCGCGGUAAUCGUAGGGUGCGAGCGUUAAUCGGAAUUACUGGGCGUAAAGCGUGCGCAGGCGGUUUUGUAAGACCGAUGUGAAAUCCCCGGGCUUAACCUGGGAACUGCAUUGGUGACUGCAAGGCUUGAGUAUGGCAGAGGGGGGUAGAAUUCCACGUGUAGCAGUGAAAUGCGUAGAGAUGUGGAGGAAUACCGAUGGCGAAGGCAGCCCCCUGGGUCAAUACUGACGCUCAUGCACAAAAGCGUGGGGAGCAAACAGGAUUAGAUACCCUGGUAGUCCACGCCCUAAACGAUGUCAACUGGUUGUCGGGCCUUCAUUGGCUUGGUAACGUAGCUAACGCGUGAAGUUGACCGCCUGGGGAGUACGGUCGCAAGAUUAAAACUCAAAGGAAUUGACGGGGACCCGCACAAGCGGUGGAUGAAUGUGGAUUAAUUCGAUGCAACGCGAAAAACCUUACCUACCCUUGACAUGUACGGAAUCCUGCUG